rnacentral:rRNA from 1 species
GAUGAAUGCUGGCGGCGUGCCUAAUACAUGCAAGUCGAGCGGCAGCGCGUCUAGUUUACUAGAUGGCGGCGAGCGGCGGACGGCUGAGUAACGCGUAGGAAUGUGCCCCAAAGUGAGGAAUAACUGCCCGAAAGGGUAGCUAAUGCCGCAUAUGGUCUUCGGAUUAAAAGGAUUUAUCCGCUUUGGGAGCAGCCUGCGUACGAUUAGAUAGUUGGUGAGGUAAUGGCUCACCAAGUCGACGAUCGUUAGCUGGUCUGAGAGGAUGAUCAGCCAGACUGGAACUGAGACACGGUCCAGACUCCUACGGGAGGCAGCAGUAAGGAAUCUUCCACAAAUGGGCAAAGCCUGAUGGAGCAAACGCCGCGUGCAGGAUGAAGGCCUGGUGUAAACUGCUUUAUGAGUAGAGAAUAUGACGGUAACUCAU